rnacentral:miRNA from 1 species
GUGUGUGUGUGUGUGUGUGUGUGUGUGUGUGUGUGUGUGUGUGUCUCUCUCUCUCUCUCUCUCUCUCUCACACACACACACACACACACAAAAGCAAACAA